rnacentral:rRNA from 1 species
AUGUGAUUAGGGAGGGAGAACAGCCACAGUGGGACUGAGACACGGCGCAAACUCCUACGGGAGGCAGCAGUGGGGAAUCUUGCACAAUGGAGGGAACUCUGAUGCAGCGAUGCCGCGUGAGUGAAGAAGGCCUUUGGGUUGUAAAGCUCUUUCGUCGGGGAAGAAAAUGACUGUACCCGAAUAAGAAGGUCCGGCUAACUUCGUGCCAGCAGCCGCGGUAAUACGAAGGGACCUAGCGUAGUUCGGAAUUACUGGGCUUAAAGAGUUCGUAGGUGGUUGAAAAAGUUGGUGGUGAAAUCCCAGAGCUUAACUCUGGAACUGCCAUCAAAACUUUUCAGCUAGAGUAUGAUAGAGGAAAGCAGAAUUUCUAGUGUAGAGGUGAAAUUCGUAGAUAUUAGAAAGAAUACCAAUUGCGAAGGCAGCUUUCUGGAUCAUUACUGACACUGAGGAACGAAAGCAUGGGUAGCGAAGAGGAUUAGAUACCCUCGUAGUCCAUGCCGUAAACGAUGUGUGCUAGACGUUGGAAACUUAGUUUUCAGUGUCGCAGAGAAAUCGUUAAGCACACCGCCUGGGGAGUACGACCGCAAGGUUAAAACUCAAAUGAAUUGACGGGGACCCGCACAAGUAGUGGAGCAUGUGGUUUAAUUCGAAGAUACGCGCAGAACCUUACCAACACUUGACAUGUUCGUCGCGACUCUAAGAGAUUAGAGUUUUCGGUUCGGCCGGACGAAACACAGGUGCUGCAUGGCUGUCGUCAGCUCGUGUCGUGAGAUGUUGGGUUAAGUCCCGCAACGAGCGCAACCCUCACUUUUAGUUGCCAUCAUUAAGUUGGGCACUCUGAAAGAACUGCCAGUGAUAAGCUGGAGGAAGGUGGGGAUGACGUCAAGUCCUCAUGGCCCUUACGGGUUGGGCUACACACGUGCUACAAUGACACUUACAGUGGGAAGCUAAGUCGCGAGGCUAAGCUAAUCUCUAAAAUGUGUCUCAGUUCGGAUUGCACUCUGUAACUCGAGUGCAUGAAGCUGGAAUUACUAGUAAUCGCGGAUCAGCGCGCCGCGGUGAAUACGUUCCCGGGCCUUGUACACAC